AGGACAUUGAAGAAAUCGUUUUUGCCAAACCUGUUAUAAAGAAACUGAUACAUUUCCUCGCCUCAUUCAAAAUCUAAAAACGCAAACAUCAUAGUAAAAUCAAUAAAUUCUUUUCCACGCUCACAAUCUAAAAUAUAUGGUAUACAAUUUAUUAAUCAUCCCUACUCCUCUGGUUUAAGUUUUAAACUGUUUAAACUUAUAAUCAGUGUAUUGAAUAUUAGCUAGUAAAUUGCGUACCUAAAUAUUAGAAAACUAUUUUAUCAAAUCUGUGUUUUAAAUAAAGAGAGGUGAAGAAUAUUGCCUUUCUAAUAUCAAAAGUAACUAUUCAUAUUUAAGAUAUAAAAAUACAGGGGUGA